UACGGAGGGUGCAAGCGUUAUCCGGAUUUAUUGGGUUUAAAGGGUCCGCAGGCGGACUAGUAAGUCAGGGGUGAAAGCCGGCAGCUCAACUGUCGAACUGCCUUUGAUACUGCUAGUCUUGAGUAAAAUUGAAGUAGCUAGAAUGUGUAGUGUAGCGGUGAAAUGCAUAGAUAUUACACAGAAUACCGAUAGCGAAGGCAGGUUACUAAAUUUUAACUGACGCUGAGGGACGAAAGCGUGGGGAGCGAACAGG
rnacentral:rRNA from 1 species